GAGUAGGAAGGACGCAGCGGUGGCGUAGAAGGUGUCGGAUGUAGAUCCGCCUGGAGCCGCCGCUGAUGCAGAUCUUGGUGGUAGUAGCAAAUACUCAAGUGAGACCCUUGAGGACCAAUGUGGAGAAGGGUUCCAUGUGAACAGCAGUUGAACAUGGGUCAGUCGGUCCUAAGGCAUGCGGAGAAAUCCGUACCAAAGUCCCAGAUGAUCUUCGUUGAACUGACGGGUGCUGAGGUGUAUGCCGAAAGGGAAUUGGGUUAAUAUUCCCAAACCUAGACACGGAGAUAGGUUCUUCGGAACCCAGUGCGGUAACGCAAACGAGCUCGGAGACGUCGGCGGGAGCCCUGGGGAGAGUUGUCUUUUCUUUGUAAGGUUCUGAUUCCCUGGAAGCGGUUUGCCCGGAGAUAGGGAGGAAAGAACCGUAAAGCACUGCGGCUCUUGCAGUGUCCAGAGUGCUUUCGUCGGCCCUUGAAAAUCCGAGUUAGGUAGUGUUAUUUUCGUGCUAGCCCGUACCCAUAUCCGCAGUGGG
rnacentral:rRNA from 3 species